rnacentral:rRNA from 1 species
CCUACGGGUGGCAGCAGUGAGGAAUAUUGGUCAAUGGACGAGAGUCUGAACCAGCCAAGUAGCGUGAAGGAUGACUGCCCUAUGGGUUGUAAACUUCUUUUAUAUGGGAAUAAAAUGUUCCACGUGUGGGAUUUUGUAUGUACCAUAUGAAUAAGGAUCGACUAACUCCGUGCCAGCAGCCGCGGUAAUACGGAGGAUCCGAGCGUUAUCCGGAUUUAUUGGGUUUAAAGGGAGCGUAGGUGGAUUGUUAAGUCAGUUGUGAAAGUUUGCGGCUCAACCGUAAAAUUGCAGUUGAAACUGGCAGUCUUGAGUACAGUAGAGGUGGGCGGAAUUCGUGGUGUAGCGGUGAAAUGCUUAGAUAUCACGAAGAACUCCGAGUGCGAAGGCAGUUCACUGGACUGCAACUGACACUGAGGCUCGAAAGUGUGGGUAUCAAACAGGAUUAGAUACCCCUGUAGUC